ACCUGAAUGAGAGGACAAACGUGCAUAGUUAAAAAUUCAUGUUGCAGGCAUCGUCGACAAAGUGGAUGAGAUCAAUGAAGGCAUCCCAACAAAAUUGAUUCUGCAUUCGUGAAUUGGUAAUGAUUCACGUCAAAUCCGUUUUUCUAAUCUUUGCAUAAUUCGAGUCAGAUAUCAUUGAGUGGAUUGAAGCCCUCCAUUCCACCCUGCUUCUCUUCCUUUAACGGCUGCCAGGUUUAUUUGAUUUAGGAUUUACGAAGAAGAAAAUAGAGACGACGCAAUAAAAAAAGGAAAAAACGGGGGGGAAUGGAAGCUAUUUCGGUCGACGGCAACGCAACAGCGCAGAGCUCGGCUGCUUGUUUAUUGAUAGCUCGAGAGUGGUUUUCAAACUAACUUUAUCCAUCGAGAGAUGCCCUCAACGUGUAGAGUCUUCGUUUUUUUCCCGCUACGUGUCACGCGUUGUGCAACUAUAACAUCGGAAAAAAAUGUGUGCGUGCGCUCAAGAGAAUUCCGAUCUGACUCGACAGACAUGACUCGAAUGGAUGAAAUAUGCCGAGAAACAGAAAACUUUUUUUCUUUUUCUCCAACUGUAUCCGUCCACUUCUUCGUUUCGAAACCGACCUCGAUGUGCUGUUAACAAGAAUCUAAAUUUAGCUUGUGAGUUUUCAACGAAAAAACAAAAAUUCUCGAAAUGAAGCAGCCGCCACAGUCCGAGCUGAUGAUGACAAGACAGAAACGUCCAAAGUCAAAACUGGUCUUAAACAAAAGAAGAUCGUUCUUGACGUCGACAUUGCUGCCAGCGCAUCAGCGGAUCAAUUGUCGUCAAAGGAUUGGUCCCUUCUUUUGUUUUCCUUUCUUUUCUUCACGUGAUGCUGCUGGAACGCUUACAUAUGGUACACACACAGACGAACCGCUUGGUUGAGCGUAGCGUUUGGCUCUGCCUCGCCGCUAAUUUUAGACGACGGCCACAUUGAGAGAGAAUAGAGAAAAGGCUCCUUUCCUCUUUUUUUCUUCUUCUUCGUUCCCUCAGCCCUCAUUUACUGAGGCGGAUGAGGAGAGAAGAAGGGGGGGCUAUAAAUGAUUUCCAUGCUCAAAAAGAUCAGCAGCUGCUGCGUACUUGUGCGCCCUUGGUGACUCUUUUUCAACAUCGUCUGUGUUUUCAUAUCGCCCAAAUUGUGAUCGCAUGACAGAUUUUUACUUAUAAUUUUUGUUUUGUUUACGGUAGGAGACUCUCGUUGGAUACAGCCCGACAACCAAGAGGAGAUCAGUGCAGCAAAUAAAACAUGUUGGAGGGAUCCGGUAUCACAAUAUUUAGCUCACGAUUGCAAACAAAGGCCAUGACGAUGUCUGGGCCUUCUUAAAGGACUUUAUCCGCCGAUCACAAGCCGCCAAUAGGCGAACCAAAAACUUCGUGCAGGCGAAUUGUUUACUGUAGGGGGAUCGUGUUCCAGGUGGCAAGCGUCAAAGAGGUCCGUCGAGUGACAUUCGAUACACAGAGUUAAGGGACAGAUGCCCCCUGGAAUAAUAGCCUCUCUAUCCUGGGGUGGGGAGGGGAUGUAAAUGAAGACAAAUACGAACCUUUGCGAGUCAAAUCGAACGAACGGAGUCUGUAAGAAUCUUCGUCCACAUUACUGGCGGCGUUGUCGUCAUCGUUGCCUGGACUGUCGGGCACGUCGAGGAAAGUGGACCGACGCAACGAUGAAUUGGCUACGUGAAACGCCGAGCUUGAGCUGCUGGCUCCGUGAACGCGGACGGAAGUGGCCCGUUUGUUGAGCGGUUGAUCUUUCGUACUGUUGCAUCCAGGCCGGCCGACUUGCGGAGAGUUACGGUUCGCCAAUUGUGAUCGGCUUCCGCCGCCACCAGCCGUCCGUUGAUUGACUGUAGCCCUUCUAAUUAGAGACGGUGAUAAAUCCGGUGUGGAAAUGGCCGGUGCAUUGCUACCAGCUCCGAGUGGCGGUUUCGCUGUGCUCGCCGACUGGCGAAUGGAUCGCAGUCCUCGAGGAGAUCCGUCCGGAGUUUCGUUAAACGACGAGUCAUUCAUCAAUCCGGCGCCGACGCUGGGAACUUUACGUAGAAACGAUUGAUAGGCAUCUUCGUGUUCCUUGUUGCCGGCUAAUCCGCCGGCUAGACUUCCACUAUUAGCCCGAUCCAGAUCCAGCGCUAGAUCCCGUCGUUUCACACGCGGCUUAUUGGCUCCUUGAAGCCGCUCACUUUUCGAGCGUCGGGCGCUCUGACGGGAUUUGCUGCCAACCGGACCCGAUCUACCGAUGUGGUUGUUGGUAAUCACUUCUCGACGGACUUCGGGUGAAUCCGAUCCGGACGAACUUUCUCGAUUAUUACCACCGACACUGGCUUUCAUCGCGUCAAAUGUCUGACUGCCGGACAGGCAAAUAGAUGAAGAACGCUGAUUUUUGCCAACAGGAGCAGUUGACAUUUUUCCUUUUUCUCAAUAAAAAAUGUCGAUUUGUUUUUGUUUUCUUUAGGUCUUCAUCGACUAAACACCGGAUGAAAGAGAUAACAAAAACUCUUCCGUGCUCACCAAGAGCCGAAGGUUCAGACUGAGGAUCCAGCGGCAAGAAACUCUCGUCUACUAAGCGUUGCACGUACGUCCCCUCCCCCUUCUUUACUUACCCCAACAAAGUGGGAGCUAAACGGGAAGGAAACGACACUAGCGACAUCCAGUGAUUCAUCACACUUCUUCGUUCGCACUAGUUGCUUCACCACCGACGACUCAUGGACCGAAUUAAACAGCUAUUCACGUACACGCAAUUUCCGACUUGAAUUUUAAUAUCAAAUAUCCUGUCUGGAUUUAAUCAGUUUAGUUGAUUUCUAUUACCUUGAACAUACCAAGUUCAUUUACAGCAUUUUGGAUAAGAUGGUUUAAAGGACGUAAAGUGACAAAUUUCGGGACAUAUGAAAAGCAAUGGCCUGAAAUGUGGGACAGUAUGGCAUUUUCGGUAUUCAUAGUUGUAUUCUAGAAAGUUGCACUAAACAGUUAACGUUGUCAGCAGAGCUUACUAAUGAGCAAUCAUCCGUUUGCACACUCAGAAAAGGCUAGACACCAAUUAAGGGCCAAUUAUAAUUGGUGAGACCAGCACAAUGUAGAAACCAACCACCACAUUACAACGACAAUCGUUAAGUGAUAAAAGCAUAGUAAACUUUGUAGAAUUUAAUGUAUUCAUCAUUUUCAAAGCAAAAGUUCAUCACAUUGAAAUUUUCCAACAUUAUUGAAAAGGAAUUCCGGUCUCGAUUAUUAAAAGUACUGGACAGCAAAAACCUGUAAAUUCCAAACGAAAACGUUAAAAUAACUGUACAACGUAUAAGAUUGGAUUAAAUGCCAACUAGACGUCAUUGAGGAUAAACCAAUCAACACUGUCCUUCAGACUGGGGCGGUAAAUAAUUCUAAUCAUUCGAAAAAGAAAAAAACGCCAGCCAAGGUCAAUUCAUUACCGAUGGAUCCACUCGGCAGAAUGCCAGGUUGAACAGAAGCCUCCUGGUUCAUCACAUUGAAAUUUUCCAACAUUAUUGAUAAGGAAUUCCGGCCUCGAUUAUGAAAAGUACUGGACAGUAAAAACCUGUAAAUUCCAAACGAAAACGUUAAAAUAACUGUACAACGUAUAAGAUUGGUUUAAAUGCCAACUAGACGUCAUUGAGGAUAAACCAAUCAACACUGUCCUUCAGACUGGGGCGGUAAAUAAUUGUAAUCAUUCGAAAAAAAAAAAACAACAGCCAAGACAAAUUCAUUACCGAUGGAUCCACUCGGUAGAAUGCCAGACUGAACAAAAGCCUCUCGUCCUAGACCUGGAAGAGAUAUGCUUGAAUUAUUAACGAUUCGAAAACAAUCCAACAUGUGCUAGAAAAACUGUCUCAGAGAAUGUAGGUAAGAAUAAGUAACAUCAUUAACCCUCUGUUUACAAAUUUUGUUACAUCAUAUUUAAUUAAACCCAUCAUAAAAGAAAAAUAAUCACCUGAAAGGGAGAAUCGUAACACUGCAGAAAUCUUUGAACAGAACCUAAGAAAAAGAAGAACAAUUAAAUUAAUAAAUAAAUGCUAAAAAUUCUCAUGUUCAGCCAGGGCUUCAGUGAGGGCAAGAGGUUUCAUGAUUUUAUUGCAGAGCCACCGCGUACAAUGGAUGCACCAAUCAAAGCUAUCAUCAAGAUAUUAAAUUAACCUAACAACUAAAAGCCAACCUACCGAACAUCGAAACGACUUCCGAUUGACCGGAAACUUCAUCCAUAUUCUACUUCACCACAAAAGCCGUCAAAACUACCCUGUCCCGCACACAUGCACCAACGACCUGUCAUAAAAUUGAAUAAUAAUUAAAAAAACCACCAGAUUGAAAUAACUGCAACUGUUGCCACCGUUAAAGCAAAAGCGAGGAUAAUAAUCCUUGAUUGCUCCCAACAUGGCUUUACAAUGUACCCGGCCAAAGUUAAAUUUUGACACCUCCUAACCUAAUUUCAAAGGAUGGACGCGUGGCGAUCGGGAAAGUAAAAGUUCAGACCAGCCUAUAAUUACCUCGGCACUCCAUGCAGAGGAUCCCAGGACAAAGACAUUCAGCAGCAUAACCACUCAGCAGCCAUCUCCCAAAAGCUAGCAGCUGAAACUGUAAAACGAAGUAAAGAAAAACGUGAGUGCAAAGUAGUACAACAAUGCUGCAACUGUCACCACCGUAAAGGCACAACCAAGGUAAACAAUCCUUGGUUGCUUCCGACAUGGCUUUUCAAUAUACCCGGCCAAGGUUAAAUUUUGACACCUCCUAACCCAAUAUCAAAGGAUGGACGCGUGGCGAUCGGGAAAACAUCGAAUAGGAUAGUUUGUAAUUACCUAGACACUCCUCCAUGCAAAAAAUUCCAACACUAAGACAUUUAACAGCAAGACCUAUUCAGCAACCAUCCCCCAAAACGUAACAUCUCGAACUGUAAAACGAAGAAAAAAACAAGCAUAAGUGCAAAAUAAUCCAACAUUACUGCAACUGUCGCCAACGUUAUGGCACAACCAAGGAAAAUAAUCCUUGACUGCUUCCAACAUGGCUUUACAAUAUACCCGGCCAAGUUUAAAUUUUGACACCUCCUAACCCAAUUUCAAAGGAUGGACGCGUGGCGAUCGGGAUAACAUAGUACAAACUAACUUAUAAUUACCUCAGCAUACCUCCAUGCAGACGAUCACAGCACGGAUAUUCAACAUCGAAAUCUCCAUUCAACAGAUAUCCUCCAAAAGUUAACACCUCUAACUGUAAAACGAAGUUAAGAAAAACGUAAAUGCAACGUAGUACAACAUUAUUGCACAUAUCGCCACGGUAUAGGCACAACCAAGGUAAAUAGUCCUUGAUUGCUUCCAACAUGGCUUUACAAUAUACCCGGCCAAGGUUAAAUUUUGACACCUCCUAACCCAAUUUCAAAGGAUGGACGCGUGGCGAUCGGGAUAACAAUUUAUAUAGUAUCGAAUAAUUACCUCAUCACCACAGCUAAUCCCAUGGUUAUUAAACUCCUAUCCAUCUAUCACCAUCCAAAAGCCGGCUGCCCCAACUGUAAAACGAGGAAAAGGAUGAAGUGGUUAACUUAAAAAAUAACACAAGUGAGACUUUGUCUAAUAUUGCUGAAGCUGUCGCCAUGAUUAAGGCACAAUCAAGGUAAAUAAUCCUUGGUUACCCCCAACACGGCUUCACUAUUCCCGGCCAAACUUAAAUCUUGACACCUCCUAUCCUAAUUUCGAAGGAUGGACGCGUGGCGAUCGGGAUAAAACCAAUGGCAACUACAUCUUAUGAUCCCAGACCUAAGAUACCCAACAACCCACACUCCCACAACCAACACCCCAAACCGUUGAUCACAGGAAAGUCGAAAAGAAUUUUAAAAUAUAUUACAAAAUAAAAAAAACCAAGUAGACACCCUGUAACAAAAACCCCACCUCUAAUACCACCCAUAAUUAGACAACCGCCACAAACAUUACCCCCCGGAUUCCUCCCCAAUUACGGGGGAGGUAUGAGUAACGACCAGGAGAACAAAUAAACCAGCAGCCAAUUACCUGAACACCAAAAGACGAAAAGAAACUAGCAAAGGCCGGACCCCUCCAAUCGUUCGAAAUGGCACUGCCACUGUUAACAAAAUAAAACGCCGUUAGAAACAAUAAAGUCCACCACUAAUAUUGUUUUAAAAAAAAUCACUUCAGAAAAUUUAAGUUACCAUUGUUAAAUUGUCACCACAAUUUUGUAUGACAGGGAUAACAAAUCAUCAUGUAAAAUAAAGAAAGAAAAUAUCAACAAACUCACUCUGCGAACUGCCAAAAGCCUGUGAAGCAGCAACAAUAUACCUGUAACAGAAAAAAAGUUACAAACCAGAACACCCAGCAAACAAAUCUAAUUGCUACAGCACAAGCUCAGAGAAUGUAGGUAAGGAUGAAAUUGAUGUUCAUCAUUAAACCUCAGAGUGGAUAAAUUUUCCAUCAUGUCAAAUAACACC